GAUGAACGCUAGCGGCAGGCUUAAUACAUGCAAGUCGAGGGGCAGCAUAAGUAGCAAUACUUGAUGGCGACCGGCAAACGGGUGCGGAACACGUACGCAACCUUCCUUUAAGUGGGGAAUAGCCCGGGGAAACCCGGAUUAAUACCCCGUAAUAUUAUGAUGUGGCAUCACAUUAUAAUUAUAGAUUCAUCGCUUAAAGAUGGGCGUGCGCCUGAUUAGGUAGUUGGCGGAGUAAUAGCCCACCAAGCCUGCGAUCAGUAACUGGUGUGAGAGCACGACCAGUCACACGGGCACUGAGACACGGGCCCGACUCCUACGGGAGGCAGCAGUAAGGAAUAUUGGU
rnacentral:rRNA from 1 species